rnacentral:lncRNA from 1 species
AUGGGGGGUGUACUGGGAGGGGUAUGCAAGGGAGAGAAAGGAAUGGAAACAAAGGGAAGGGAGAUGGGUUGUAUAGUGGGAGUGGAGAGCAAGGGAAUGGAAGGGAAGGGAAAUGGGGGAUGUAGUGGAAAGGGAGAGCAAGGGAAUGGAAGGAAAGUUAAAUGGGGUUGUAGUGGGAAAGGAGAGGAAUGCAGAGGAAGGGUAUUGAAAGGAAUGGAAGGGAAGGGAAAUGGGGGAUGUAGUGGGAAAGGAGAGCAAGGGAAUGGAAGGGAAUGGAAGGGAAGGGAAAAGGGGGGUGUAGUGGGGAGGGAGGGGAAGGGAAGGGAAGGGAAAUGGUGUUGCAGUUGGAAGGGAGAGAAUGGGAAUGGAAGGGAAUGGAAGGGAAUGGAAGGGAAGGGAAAUGGGAGUGUAGUGGGAAGGGAGAGGAAGGUAGAAAAAGGGAAUUGAAGGGAAUGGAAGGGAAGGGAACUGGGGGAUGAAGUGGCAAGGGAGAGCAAGAGAAAGGAAGGGAAGGGAAAAGAGGUGUGCAGAGGGAAGAUAGAGCAAGGGAAUGGAAGGGAAGGGAAAUGGGGGGUGUAGUGGAAAGGGAGAGAUAAAGGGAAUGGAACGAAAGGGAAAUUGGGGGUGUAGUGGGAGGGGUAUGCAAGGGAGAGCAAGGAUUGGAAGAGAAGGGAAGGGAAAUGGCGGGUAUAGUGGGAAGGGAGAGCAAGGGAAUGGAACGGAACGUAAAUGGGGCAUGUAGUGGAAAGAGAGAGCAAGGGAAUAGAAGGGAAGGGAAAUGGGGUGUGAAGCGGGAAGGGAGAGCAAGGAAUGGAAGGGAAUGGGAGGGAAGGGAAAAGGCGGGUGCAAAGGGGAGGUAGAGCAAGGAAAUUGAAGGGAAAGAAAGGGAAUGGAAGGGAAGGGAAAUGGGGGGUGUAGAGGUAAGGGAGAUAAAGGGACUGGAAGGGAAGGGAAAUGGGGGUUGUAGUGGGAAGGGAGAUAAAGGGAAUGGAAGGGAAGGGAAAUGGGGUUGAAGUGGGAGGGGGAUGGAAGGGAGAGCAAGAGAAUGGAAGGGAAGGGAAGGGAAAUGGGGGCUAUAGCGGGAAGGGAGAGCAAGGGAAUGGAUGGGAAGGGAAUUGGGGGUGUAUUGGGAAGGAAGAGUAAGCAAAUGGAAGGGAAGGUAAUUGGGGGGUGUAGUGGGAAGGGAGAGGAAGGGAGAGAAAGGGAAUUGUAGGGAAUGGAAGGGAAGGGAAAUGGGGAAUGAAGUGGGAAGGGAAAGCAAGGGAAAGGACGGGAAGGGAAAAGGCGUGUGUAGUGGGAAGAUAGAGCAAGGGAAUGGAAGGGAAGGGAAAUGGGGGGUGUAGGGGGAAGGGAGAUAAAGGGAAUGGAAGGGAGGGGAAAUGGGGGGUGUAGUGGGAAUGGUAUGCAAGGGAGAGCAUGGAAUGGAAGGGAAGGGAAGGGAAAUGGG